AGCAAAGGAGGGAAUAUCAGGUUAUUUCAGGCUCUUAUGACUGCCCACUGUAAACCUCCUUUGUUUGAGCAGACAAGGAGAGGAGGAGGAAGGUUAAACUGGACUGAGUCAUCCUUGAGGUUGCUUGGGUGGGAGAUGAAGUUUUUCAGAUACAAAUCAUUAAGUAAAAGAUCAUCCCUUUUCACUCUAUUGACUAGCACAAAUGUCUGAGCCUUCCUUAGAAUAGCAAUGUAUUCAGGAUGCUAACGAAAAGAAACAAUGAAGCUAAUAGAUCAUCUGGAUAGAAAUAGAUGUUUCAGACUCCCAGGACUUGCUGUGGAAAACCUGGCUGUGACUCCAUGGGGUUGGCCACAGGAGGUCACAGGGAGAAGCCACCUCAGCUGUUGGUUGCACUCUGUGCUGCUCCUUGUGAUACAGAAAGAGUACAUUGGAAAGUAACUGCUAAGUCUGGAUAGCAAACUAGACUAAGCCAAGCAAUUGUUCACCCAAAAUUUGUUUUCAUCAAAGUGUUAACAAAU